rnacentral:rRNA from 1 species
ACGAACGCUGGCGGCACGCUUAACACAUGCAAGUCGAACGAGAGAAGAGAAGCUUGCUUUUCUGAUCUAGUGGCGGACGGGUGAGUAACACGUGAGCAAUCUGCCUUUCAGAGGGGGAUACCGAUUGGAAACGAUCGUUAAUACCGCAUAACAUAAUUGAACCGCAUGAUUUGAUUAUCAAAGAUUUAUCGCUGAAAGAUGAGCUCGCGUCUGAUUAGCUAGUUGGUAAGGUAACGGCUUACCAAGGCGACGAUCAGUAGCCGGACUGAGAGGUUGAUCGGCCACAUUGGGACUGAGACACGGCCCAGACUCCUACGGGAGGCAGCAGUGGGGAAUAUUGCACAAUGGAGGAAACUCUGAUGCAGCGAUGCCGCGUGAGGGAAGAAGGUUUUAGGAUUGUAAACCUCUGUCUUCAGGGACGAAAAAAGACGGUACCUGAGGAGGAAGCUCCGGCUAACUACGUGCCAGCAGCCGCGGUAAUACGUAGGGAGCGAGCGUUGUCCGGAAUUACUGGGUGUAAAGGGAGCGUAGGCGGGAUCGCAAGUCAGAUGUGAAAACUAUGGGCUUAACCCAUAAACUGCAUUUGAAACUGUGGUUCUUGAGUGAAGUAGAGGUAAGCGGAAUUCCUAGUGUAGCGGUGAAAUGCGUAGAUAUUAGGAGGAACAUCAGUGGCGAAGGCGGCUUACUGGGCUUUAACUGACGCUGAGGCUCGAAAGCGUGGGGAGCAAACAGGAUUAGAUACCCUGGUAGUCCACGCCGUAAACGAUGAUUACUAGGUGUGGGGGGACUGACCCCUUCCGUGCCGCAGCAAACGCAAUAAGUAAUCCACCUGGGGAGUACGACCGCAAGGUUGAAACUCAAAGGAAUUGACGGGGGCCCGCACAAGCAGUGGAGUAUGUGGUUUAAUUCGACGCAACGCGAAGAACCUUACCAGGUCUUGACAUCGUAUGCAUAGCUCAGAGAUGAGUGAAAUCUCUUCGGAGACAUAUAGACAGGUGGUGCAUGGUUGUCGUCAGCUCGUGUCGUGAGAUGUUGGGUUAAGUCCCGCAACGAGCGCAACCCUUACUGUUAGUUGCUACGCAAGAGCACUCUAGCAGGACUGCCGUUGACAAAACGGAGGAAGGUGGGGAUGACGUCAAAUCAUCAUGCCCCUUAUGACCUGGGCCUCACACGUACUACAAUGGCUGUCAACAGAGGGAAGCAAAGCCGCGAGGUGGAGCAAACCCCUAAAAGCAGUCUUAGUUCGGAUUGUAGGCUGCAACCCGCCUACAUGAAGUCGGAAUUGCUAGUAAUCGCAGAUCAGCAUGCUGCGGUGAAUACGUUCCCGGGCCUUGUACACACCGCCCGUCACGCCAUGGGAGUCGGUAACACCCGAAGCCUGUAGUCUAACCGCAAGGAGGACGCAGUCGAAGGUGGGAUUGAUGACUGGGGUG